GACGUAGGGCGCGAGCGUUGUCCGGAUUUAUUGGGCGUAAAGAGCUCGUAGGCGGUCUGUCGCGUCGGCUGUGAAAACUCAGGGCUCAACCCUGAGCCUGCAGUCGAUACGGGCAGACUAGAGUUCGGUAGGGGAGACUGGAAUUCCUGGUGUAGCGGUGAAAUGCGCAGAUAUCAGGAGGAACACCGGUGGCGAAGGCGGGUCUCUGGGCCGAAACUGACGCUGAGGAGCGAAAGCGUGGGGAGCGAACAGG
rnacentral:rRNA from 1 species